GAAACGCUGCAUUUUAAUAGAAUGCAGCCUGACUUAACCCGGAGAGGAAGCAGUGGCUAACUCUGUGCCAGCAGCCGCGGUAAUACAGAGACUGCAAGCGUUAUUCGGAUUCACUGGGCGUAAAGGGUGCGCAGGCGGCCAAGUGUGUGAGGCGUGAAAGCCCGGGGCUUAACCCCGGAAUUGCACCUCAAACUACAUGGCUAGAGCAUUGGAGAGGGUAGCAGAAUUCAUGGUGUAGCAGUGAAAUGCGUAGAUAUCAUGAGGAAUACCAGAGGCGAAGGCGGCUACCUGGACAAUUGCUGACGCUCAGGCACGAAAGCGUGGGGAGCAAAAGGGAUUAGAUACCCCUGUAGUCCACGCCCUAAACGGUGCACACUAGGUCUUGGCGGAUUCGACCCCGCCAGGGCCCAAGCUAACGCGUUAAGUGUGCCGCCUGAGGACUACGGCCGCAAGGCUA
rnacentral:rRNA from 1 species